rnacentral:lncRNA from 1 species
CUGAACCCUCUGACUCUCAGGGGUUCCUUUCUCCAGGCCUCUAGCCAGAAAGAUUUGGAUUUCUAUUAGAGUUUUGGGUGCCCACCCCCAUUUCAUGUUCUGUGACUCAGGCCACCAGACCACCCUCAUAACAAGUCAGAAGACAUGAGGAAAAAAGAAAUAGCAAUCUGGCUGGUAUUGGUCCUUAUUCAAGUUUUGACUUCAUUCUCGAAUCUAUCCACUAUUGUUUACCUUUCAGAGUCCUUCGGUAAUUACUUUGUAUAUUCUGUCUGGAGUUUUCAGAUAUAAUUGGUGGCAGAGACAGACUAAAUAGGCUUACUCCAUCUUGGCUGGCCCUGGAAGUUUUAUACAUGUGUGAGUGUGUGUGGCUGUGUGUGUGAUAUUUAUAUCAACCAUUUAGGUUGGAUAUUUAUGCUAUUGAAAUGAUUCGUAUUGAAUGAGAUCACCAACAAAGGAAUGGGUUUAGAUAGAAAAGAAAAGAGGCUCAAGAACUGAGGCCUAGGAGAAUCCAACGGUUAGAGGGCAGGGAACAGAGGAGGAAUGACCAGAAAUAGAAUGAAAACUCAAAAAGCCAAGUGUCUUGGAUGCCAAGAAGAGUGUUUCAAGGGGGAGGGAGUGAUUCCCUGGGUCAAAUGCUGCCAAUGAGGAAUACAAAGACUGAGAAUUUACCUUUGGAUCAUUCCUAUGGUUGUGGGAGAGUUAAGUGAGAUGAUGUAUGGAACAGCUAACAGUGUGCCCAAGAAGUAGAAAGCAUUAUAAAGUUCCUGAGUGUCCCUCUUCCCUGCUUUUGCCCAUUUCGUUUCUUCACCUGGUAUUCUGUCCUCUGCUUAUCCAUAUUGUGAACCAACUUGGAUCCCACCUGUUCUCUGAAAUCUUUUCUGGGUACUCUAAAUCUUAGGGACCUUCCUCACCUCUGGGGUCUCCUUACUACGUGGUCCGUGCUGCCAAGCUACAGAAAGCAACGUGGUAUGCAGAAGCUUGCUUGGACUCCAGUGUGAGACUGCCUGUCCUUGAAUUUCAACUCUACCACUUACUAGCUGAGUGAACUUAGGGAAACUAUGUAACCUCUCUGAGCCUCUAUUUCCUCAUCUUAAAAAUCAGGACAAACACAAUGAUCUCAUCUGCAUUAUUGUUAGGAGUAAAUGAGAUAAUAUUUAUAAAACCUUUGGGUUCAGCAGAUCCUUUCUCUUUCCUGCUGCACACCUUAGCAUUGUUUCAUGUGUGCCGGUUUGCUCUUACCAAUAAGCAUCUUGAGGGUCGGAGUCAUGCCUUAGUGUUCCUUUCUGUCCCCUGUUGCAUCGAGCAUGUUGAUGGGUUCCACAAGUGCUUUACUGACAUCAGAAGUAUUUUCUAAUCCAGAGUACAAAUUACAGCCUGUCAAAAAGAAACACACAGCUGUGGUGUCUGGUUUACAGGUAGCAAGUCAUCAGGAAUGCUUAGCACGUAUGGACCAUUUCACAGAGAGUGUCUGAAACAAGAUAUUUCUUUCUAGGUAUGUAUCUUUUAU